ACAAAUAAGGCAAUGUCAUGAUGACACAGACCACAACAGCUGUGAUCGGUCGGCUCGUUCAUGUCUCUUAUUGGUUGGACCAGCACAGAAAACUCCUCCUUCUGCCUCUGUCAGUUCAGAGGUCGUACACCAUCUCCUCCAAUGUCUUCUCUCUUUAUUGUGUCGCUGUAAUUUCAUUAAAAGUAACAGAGGGUAUGCACGUGACAACAUAGCACAUGGAAGUCACUGCAGUUAUGCCCACUGAUUGGCAGAAAGACUGAUUGGCAGUGUUAGCCGCCAAAAUUUAAAAACAAUAUCCAAAAUGAGGAAUCGAUUGUCGGAGCUAUCUUUCUACAGGCUACUGAAAGCCACAGAAAAGAGAAGGAGAUGGAUCGCUACUAUUCGCAGACACAACUGGAAUCCAGGCACUGAAACCUGGAUUUACAGUUCCCAUUUCAUGUCAGUGAUUCAUCAGACAUGGAGCGGAGCGGGGACAGAGUCUUCUCUGCUGCUGAAUGACCAGGACUUCAGUCUCAGUGUGAUGUCCACAGAUCCACCAGCUGGGAACAUCUGCCUCAGACUUUCAGUUCAGAGGAAACAUGUCCUUCAACCUCAAACCUUUUCCCACCCUCUGGUUCGACCCACUAGAAGUCAUAGUGGUUGUACAUGCCCCCACCACCAACACCUUUGGACCUGAGUGAGCAGAUGACAAAGCUGUGGGGACCCAGUCUUGAUCCAGUAUCCAGGUUUAUCUAGUCUGCACUGAGCUUCUCCCCAGCAGCUGGUAUUUUUGUUCUGCUACACUGUUAGAGACUUUUAUGGCACCCCAGCUACAAACAUGAAAAAUGUGAACAGCUGCUGAUAAUUAUGGAAUUUAAUUUAAUGUUUCUGAUGUUAUACAACAGCUGUUAUGUAACUGACUCAACACAAAGACAGACAAACCAAACUCUGAUUCUUGUGGUUUCCUGCCAACAUGGUGAUUUUUUUUAUUAUUUCAUAUUUAUAACUUGUUACUGUAAAGACAAACAGACAUGUUAAAUUCAUUAUGGAAAUAAAAACCUGUGGUUUUGGAUCACAGGACGAACCUGA